rnacentral:tRNA from 1 species
CAGUAUAUAUUUUAUAUAAAAUAUUAAUUUUGGAGAUUAAAGAUAUAAAUUAAUUUAUUUUACUGA